GGGCCUGUAGCUCAGCUCGGUUAGAGCGACGGUCUUAUAAGCCGUAGGUCUCGAGACCGCCUUUUAGGAAAAGGCGGCCCAAAACUGGGUCGCUAGGUGGCGGAAAUUCAAAUGGAUUUACUGUAACUUACAGCAGAUCCUGGCUUUCUCGACAGGCCCA
rnacentral:tRNA from 1 species